GACGAACGCUGGCGGCGUGCCUAAUACAUGCAAGUAGAACGCAGUUUCGAACGGGUGAGUAACGCGUAUGUAACUGCCCGGUUGCGGGGGAGAACUAUUGGAAACGAUAGCUAAUACCGCAUACUACCUGAUGGACCUGCGUUGUAUUAGCUAGUUGGUGAGGUAACGGCUCACCAAGGCAACGAUACAUAGCCGACCUGAGAGGGUGAUCGGCCACACUGGGACUGAGACACGGCCCAGACUCCUACGGGAGGCAGCAGUAGGGAAUCUUCGGCAAUGGGGGAAACCCUGACCGAGCAACGCCGCGUGAGUGAAGAAGGUUUUCGGAUCGUAAAACUCUGUUGUUAGAGAAGCGGUAUCUAACCAGAAAGCCACGGCUAACUACGUGCCAGCAGCCGCGGUAAUAC
rnacentral:rRNA from 1 species